GAUGAACGCUGGCGGCGUGCCUAAUACAUGCAAGUCGAGCGAACGGACGAGAAGCUUGCUUCUCUGAUGUUAGCGGCGGACGGGUGAGUAACACGUGGAUAACCUACCUAUAAGACUGGGAUAACUUCGGGAAACCGGAGCUAAUACCGGAUAAUAUUUUGAACCGCAUGGUUCAAAAGUGAAAGACGGUCUUGCUGUCACUUAUAGAUGGAUCCGCGCUGCAUUAGCUAGUUGGUAAGGUAACGGCUUACCAAGGCAACGAUGCAUAGCCGACCUGAGAGGGUGGUCGGCCACCCUGGAACUGCGCCGCGGUCCAGACUCCUACGGGAGGCAGCAGUAGGGAAUCUUCCGCAAUGGGCGAAAGCCUGACGGAGCAACGCCGCGUGAGUGAUGAAGGUCUUCGGAUCGUAAAACUCUGUUAUUAGGGAAGAACAUAUGUGUAAGUAACUGUGCACAUCUUGACGGUACCUAAUCAGAAAGCCACGGCUAACUACGUG
rnacentral:rRNA from 1 species